AGGGAGACCCCCCCGAGCCCUGCAAGAAGCAACCUAGACUGGAUACAGAAUGUGGUGAGUACCCUGGUGGUUCUCCCGGAAGGGGUGCUGACAACCUGCUCCUGCCUCCCUGGCCUGUAGACCCCAGAGUCAGGGAACCACUACCAAGGGGGGAAAGAGACCUGAGCUGGGGCACAGCUCCACGGUUUUAGGGCUAGGAGCCAUGGUAUCUGACCAUGGACACUGACACCUGAAUUUCAUAUAAUUUUCAUGUGUCAUGACAUAUUCUUUUGACUUUUUUCAACCACUUAAAAUAUAAAAAACAUUCUUAACUUGUGAUCUGCACACACACACACACACACACACACACACACACACACACAAACCUGCAACAAGUCAGACUUGGCCCACGGAUUGUGGUUGGCUGCUCUCUGCCCUAAAUCAUCCUUUGUUCUUUACUUUUCGUUUGGGUCGUGACUUCAGCACUGACCUGUCCAGAGCUCUCUGCCCAGAACUGGAGCAGAGGCUUCAGUCCCCACUCUAGCAUAUUAUGACCAUUGGGCAGAAAGAAAGGCAGCAUGGUACAAGGAAAGAGCAUGGACUCGGGAGCCAGCAAGACCUGGGUUCAAAUCCUGUCUCUACCACUUAUUACCUGGAUGAUUACUGGAUGACCUGAAGUAACUUCUUCUGCCUUUCUGAGCUUCCCUUUCCUCAUCUGUGUCCCAGAGCUUGCCCUGUAGAGCUGUUACAAAAGGGCCUUGGUAGAUGUACAACGAGACAUAGCUAUUAUUUGGGGACAUGCAAAUAAGCUGCAGAGGGUGUAGGCCUUCGCUUCCUGCUCACUUAGGUCCAGCAGCUUCUGCACACCAGCCUCCCAGGGAGGCCCCUCUCCAUCUCCAUGAAGAAAAUCAAGAAGAGAGCCUGACAUCUCCCAUGAAGCUCCUCCAGGGCCCUGUGAUGCAGAGCCCACCCUAUUCCCCUCCCCCAGCAUCCCCAGGUCUGCUGGGGCCUUACCACUGGGCCCACUGUGCUUGUCUCUUGGUUUCUAUCCUGC
rnacentral:lncRNA from 1 species